UACUAGAGUAGCACUCGCAUAUCAAUAAGCGGAGGAAAAGAAACUAACAAGGAUUCCCCUAGUAACGGCGAGUGAAGCGGGAAGAGCUUAAAUUUGAAAUCUUAAAGGGUUUCCCUUUACGAAUUGUAGUUUAAAGAAGUGUUUUCUGUUGAGGUUUUGGUAAAAGUUCUUUGGAAUAGGACAUCAUAGAGGGUGAGAAUCCCGUAUUUGACCUCUACUUUCAACUUUGUGAUACACUUUCAAAGAGUCGGAUUGUUUGGGAAUGCAGUCCAAAAUGGGUGGUAAAUUUCAUCUAAAGCUAAAUAUUGGCGAGAGACCGAUAGCGAACAAGUACCGUGAGGGAAAGAUGAAAAGAACUUUGAAAAGAGAGUUAAACAGUACGUGAAAUUGUCAAAAGGGAAGCGUUUGACACCAGUGUUGUUUUUCUGAAAAUCAAUUAAAGAACUGUUUAUGCUAAGCUGUUUAGACUUUAUCAGCUAUCUGUUUAGUUUUGAGCUUUUCUUUAAUGCACUUUUCAGUUAACAAGUCAACAUCAAUUUCUUUUGCUGUAAAAAAGCUUGAGGAAGGUGGCUUGAGAUUCGUCUUAAGUGUUUAUAGCCUCUUGCCUAUGCAGUCGGAGAGAUUGAGGUCUGCAGCGUAGAUCCUUCGGGGCUAAAUGCAUUUGUGCUAAGUUAUAGCAUUUUCAUAGACAACUUGUUGACUAUGAUUUGUCUUGUAGCUUACUCGCUUAUGUUAUUUUACCUACGCUUAGGAUGUUGAUCUCUCACAGUCGAGC
rnacentral:rRNA from 1 species